rnacentral:rRNA from 1 species
GUAGGUGGCAAGCGUUGUCCGGAAUUAUUGGGCGUAAAGCGCGCGCAGGCGGUUCUUUAAGUCUGAUGUGAAAGCCCACGGCUCAACCGUGGAGGGUCAUUGGAAACUGGAGGACUUGAGUACAGAAGAGGAAAGCGGAAUUCCACGUGUAGCGGUGAAAUGCGUAGAGAUGUGGAGGAACACCAGUGGCGAAGGCGGCUUUCUGGUCUGUAACUGACGCUGAGGCGCGAAAGCGUGGGGAGCAAACAGGGAUUAGAUACCCUGGUAGUCCACGCCGUAAACGAUGAGUGCUAAGUGUUAGGGGGUUUCCGCCCCCUUAGUGCUGCAGCUAACGCAUUAAGCACUCCGCCUGGGGAGUACGGCCGCAAGGCUG